rnacentral:rRNA from 1 species
GACGAACGCUGGCGGCGUGCCUAAUACAUGCAAGUAGAACGCUGAAGAGAGGAGCUUGCUCUUCUUGGAUGAGUUGCGAACGGGUGAGUAACGCGUAGGUAACCUGCCUUGUAGCGGGGGAUAACUAUUGGAAACGAUAGCUAAUACCGCAUAACAAUGGAUGACACAUGUCAUUUAUUUGAAAGGGGCAAUUGCUCCACUACAAGAUGGACCUGCGUUGUAUUAGCUAGUAGGUGAGGUAAUGGCUCACCUAGGCGACGAUACAUAGCCGACCUGAGAGGGUGAUCGGCCACACUGGGACUGAGACACGGCCCAGACUCCUACGGGAGGCAGCAGUAGGGAAUCUUCGGCAAUGGGGGCAACCCUGACCGAGGAACGCCGCGUGAGUGAAGAAGGUUUUCGGAUCGUAAAGCUCUGUUGUAAGUCAAGAACGGGUGUGAGAGUGGAAAGUUCACACUGUGACGGUAGCUUACCAGAAAGGGACGGCUAACUACGUG